rnacentral:tRNA from 1 species
AGGGAUAUAGUUCAGCAGCACAGCUCUUGCCUGACAAGUAUGAGGCCCUGGGUUCAACUCCCAGUACUA